AGUGAUGAAUGAAUUUCAAUUUUGGUACCUGCUGGAUCUGCAUUUCACAGAUAACUUGUGUCCUGCAUGCAAUGGGCAACUAUCUGCAUGAUGUGAUUAUUCGAGUCUGAUGUUUUGCUGCGCUUAAAAGUUACUUUUCUAUCUUUUUAGAUGACGUUUGACAAAUUUGGAUGGAUCUACAUCAACUGGAUAAUAGGAUAUUGACUUGUUCUUGGUUGCUGUUUUAGUUUGCUGUUCUGGUUUUAAUAUUAGUGCUCUAAAUGUAAAAUUGACUCUUCUUUUCACUAACAAAAGUUUUCAUCACAAAGUUUUCUGAUCAAAUAAUACUAAUAAGAACCUUGGAUAGUAAAGAAGAUAUUUGAUUACAAUUAUAUUAGUGAUAGUAGAACAUUGACUUUAAAAAAUUUAGUGUGUUUCAUAGGAUGUCGGUUUAGGAAAUUUAAUUUGGUUGUCAUGGCUUGUAAAUAUUAAAUUUUACUUGAAUACGAAUUGAUUUUUCAAUAUUGUGCUAUUUUCUUGUAUUAGCUAGGAAUGGGAAGUGCUCUAGAAACACUAUGUGGCCAGGCAGUUGGUGCUGGACAGUAUGAGAUGCUUGGAAUCUACAUGCAAAGAUCGUGCAUUAUAACCCUAGUCACAACCUUGUUUUUAACACCUCUUUACGUCUUUGCAUCUCCAAUACUUCAGCACCUUCAUCAAAGUAAAAAUAUUUCCGAGCUCGCCGGGAAGUAUGCUAUUUGGGUCAUUCCUCAAUUGUAUGCUUAUGCAUUGAACUUUCCAGUGCAAAAAUUUCUCCAAUCACAAAGCAAGAUAUGGGUUAUGACUAUAAUUUCAGUUGUGGUUUUGGCAUUUCAUGUUCUAUUGAAUUGGAUACUUGUGACAAAGCUUGGGACAGGUUUGCUUGGUGCUGCAAUAGCAGAGAACAUAUCAUGGUGGCUAGUGGUUUUAGCUCAGAUCGUUUACGUGGUGUCAGGUUUUUUCCCUGAAUCAUGGACUGGAUUUUCCUUAUCAGCAUUCAAAUCCCUUGCUGGUUUUGUUAAGUUGUCACUUGCAUCAGCUAUCAUGCUGUGCUUAGAGCUAUGGUAUUAUACUGUGGUGAUCCUUAUGGUUGGUAUGUUAAAGAAUCCAGAAGUUGCAGUAGAUGCAGUAUCAAUUUGUAUGAAUCUGGAAAUUUGGGUAUUGAUGAUUACUCUAGGAUUCAAUGCUGCAAUCAGCGUACGUGUUUCUAAUGAACUUGGAGCUAAUCAUCCUAAAACUGCGAAGUUUUCUGUGGUAGUGGCCGUGGUCACAUCAACAUUAUUUGGAAUUUUCUUUCUUGUUGCAAUUCUUGCAACAAGAAGCUAUUUUCCCAGACUGUUUUCUGACAAACCAGAGGUCAUAAAAGAGACAUCGCGCUUGGGUUAUUUCCUGGCAGCAACCAUCUUCCUCAACAGCAUUCUACCUGUACUCCAUGGGGUAGCAGUUGGUGCAGGGUGGCAAUUUACAGUCGCACUGAUAAACAUUGUGUGCUACUACGUGUUUGGCCUUCCUUUAGGUGCCCUGCUUGGUUUCAAAUUUAAUCUUGGUGUGAAAGGAAUCUGGUCAGGGAUGUUAGCUGGUUGCCUUCUACAAACUGUUGUUUUGAUUAUGCAAAUACUCCGGGCUAAUUGGACUAAAGAGGCGUUGCAGGCUGAGGAGCGUGUCAAAACAUAUGCUACCUCUCCCUUACCCCAUGGCGAUGGAUCAGUAAUUGAAUAAUCAAAUAAAAAUUGGAAGGAACACAUGGAAUUGUUUCCACUGAUAUAAACAAAAGAUGAAACAUCCAACAUCACUGUUUGUGGUGCAGAUUUCAGACUUCAGCAAAAUCUCAAUGGAUAUUCAAAACGGUGUUCUAAUGUUAGGAUAAAAAGAUUUUAAACCGUACCAAACGGGCUCAAAUCUGCAGUGUGCAUCACAUGCAAUGAUACUGUGAGUUUCCUAUCUUGUGUUUCUGGUUUAGUUAAUUCUUGUGGUUGUUUCGAAGGUAUGAAUUUAGAACUUUGGAUGUCGCUGAUUACCCUUGCUUUCCAAUGAUGCAUUCUCAUGGUAAGAGGUUAGCAUAAUUAUGGCUUAUUUGACAUGAUUUUUAAAAAAUCAAAAAGAGCCUUGAUACUAGAAGUUGCUCUUUUUUUAAGUUAAAAGAGUUAUUUUACGUGUUUGAUUAAUCAACAGUUUUCACUUCAUUAAGUAGCUUAUACGUUUUAGUGUUAUUGAGAAAUCGUCAAAGGUUAUUCAUAUAGUCCCCCUUUUUUUUCCAUUCUUUUUCCAUUAAAAUGAAAA